rnacentral:rRNA from 1 species
AUGGCGGUGGUCGGCGUUCUCGCCCUGCAGGGAUCCUACAACGAGCACAUGUCCGGUACGCCGAAUCUCCUUCUCGCGUUUCUCGCGCGUGCCGGCGACGUGUUCUCUCGUGAUUCCGUCGGGUUCUGUCUGGGCAGCGCUGAGGAGGAUCGGGGUGAAGGGGGUGGAGGUGCGCAAGCCGGAGCAGCUGCAGGGCCUCGACUCGCUCAUCAUCCCCGGCGGCGAGAGCACCACCAUGGCCAAGCUCGCCAACUACCACAACCUGUUUCCUGCACUUCGAGAGUUUGUCGGUGCAGGAAAGCCUGUGUGGGGAACUUGUGCUGGGCUCAUUUUCCUUGCAAACAAGGCGGACAAAAAUUGGGAGGCCAAGAGCUUGUUGGGGGGCUAGAUUGCACUGUCCACCGGAACUUUUUUGGGAGCCAGCUGCAAAGCUUUGAAACCGAACUUUCAGUGCCAAUGCUUGCGGACAAGGAAGGAGGCAGUAAUACAUGCCGUGGAGUAUUUAUACGAGCACCUGCUAUCUUGGAAGUAGGAUCGGAUGUUGAAAUACUGGCUGAAUGCCCUGUUCCUUCUGGUAGACCCAGCAUUACCAUACCAUCUGCCGAGGGUGUUGAGGAAGAGGUGUACUCAAAAGAUCGGGUGAUUGUUGCGGUGCGUCAAGGGAGCAUCCUCGCCACCGCUUUUCACCCAGAAUUGACAUCAGACUGUAGAUGGCAUCGCUUCUUCCUGGACAUGGACAAAGAAUCCCAUCCAAAGGCCUUCUCCGCGCUAUCUCUAUCGUCGUCUUCAAGAGGUUCAGAAGGCGGGUCAAAGACCAAGCCUUUUGAUCUUCCCAUAUUUGAAUAG